UGCAGCUAUCGUUUCAAUGUUUUCAAUAACUAAUCAAUCUUAAGUUUGACUUGAUGUCUGCGCUGCACGCGAUGACUUAUUUCGGGUAGUGUUUUUCGCAGCCAGAACAGCAAGAAAAACGGCAAAACUUUUUCAGAACUCGCUGUGUAAUCGACAACAGUAAAGCAAGUGCCAACUUUUUUGCUGGCUCACAUCAAUCAGCCUGGGGUGGAAACGUAAGCUCACGUCACUCAGCCAGACAGUCCUUCAACCAGCGAGUUGGAGGGGUAAAGAUGGACGAGGAGACAGGAGAACGCAAGAGAAGGAUGAAGUUGGGUAGAGAGAGUUGAACUUUUGGCGUUGACAGCCGGAAUACAAAAUGCGGGCGAAAUAUGUCGAUACGAAUCAAGCGAAAGCUCGACUCAUUUUCACAUUACCCCAGCAAUAAUGAAUGGAAGAAAUGGUUGGAAAAUAUGAAAAACUCGCUUGCCAGGUCGAAGAGCUCAGCUCUCUAGCCGGGCCUGGAGCUGAACUAUAAAUGCUAGACAAUAAAUAACCACAACUUAAGCAUAUUGCGGUUAGGAGCAGCCCGUGUAACCCUCUAACACACGGUGCGAAUUCCCGCUGCACUCUCCGUGCACUCGCCACUCGCCAGUUGCCUUCUACCGGCAGCUACUCUCUGUCAGCCAUAUUUCAUUUUCAUGCUCCCAAUUGUUUUGCUUUUGACAAAUGAGUGAGCCAGACAGAGAACGCUCCAGAUAGAGACAGCCUGCUGGCUCUGCCCUGACGCGGUGGAGAAGUGAGCGAGUGUGUACAAGCCUGCAGCUGAUAUGUCAGUCAGUCAGCGUCAACCCGUCAAUGGGCCAAAGUCAAAGUCGUGCCAAAGUCAGGCCGCUGGUCAAAUCUGUUAAGCUUAAACAAGUCAAAAUGCCAUCGCCAGCUGAUGUUGUUGCUCCCUUUUGUGCCAAGUAGUUUAAUCAAUUACUCGAAAUAAAUAUCGAACCACAAAACUGCCUAUUACAAACAA